GGGGGAUUAGCUCAGCUGGCUAGAGCGCCUGCUUUGCAAGCAGGAGGUCAUCGGUUCGACUCCGAUAUUCUCCACAA
rnacentral:tRNA from 1 species